AGAAAGAGAGUACUGUUUCCAACCACCAAAACGAAGAAUCAGCUAACCGGAGAAAAUGUAGCUCCCUGCAGGUAAGGGGACUGGGAUUUUUGGUCACUGCUGUUUGAUAUUAUGAAUUAUUAAUCUCUGUUUCUGAGAUUGCAUCAGCUUAUUAUAGUUAUGAGUUAAGUUAUUUUCUUUUAUUGUAGGGUGAAAGAAUGGAGAUCUAAAAAGGAGCGGAAGACGGCGGCGGAGAUUGACGGUGGUGGUGGCGGAGGGGAGAAAGAGAGAAAGAGAGAGAGGAAUGAGGGAAGAGAAGCGAAUAUUGGGUUUUUUAGGUGUCGCUUAAAAGGGAAAACGUUAGGAGAAAAGCUCUUCCUUGCUGUUAACACCAUCUCAUCUCAUCUCAUCUCAUCUCAUCUCAUCUCAUCUCAUCUAUCAAUCACCACCAAAAAUAAACAGUAAACAGUAGUAGUAGUAGUAUCAAGUAUGCAUCCAUGUUUUUCUGUAUAAGUUGGGUUAUGAGUUGUAAUUAAUGAUUCGUGCAUAUCAAAUACCAACUAUGUUUUUUCUGAAAUUCAUGUGAAUUCUUUUACUCCCCCACCCCUAUGGCGAAU
rnacentral:lncRNA from 1 species